rnacentral:rRNA from 1 species
AAUGAACGUUGGCGGCGUGGAUUAGGCAUGCAAGUCGAGCGAGAACCCAGCAAUGGGGGACGGCGGCGUAAGGGACAGUAAUGUGUAGAUUAUCUGCCCUCGGGACCGGGAUAGCUGCGGGAAACUGCAGGUAAUACCGGCUAACAUCUCCGGAACAAAGGUGUGAUUCCGCCCGAGGAUGAGUCUGCAUCCUAUUAGCUAGUUGGCAGGGUAAUGGCCUACCAAGGCUUUGAGGGGUAGCGGGUGUGAGAGCACGACCCGCGUCAUUGGGACUGAGACACUGCCCAGACACCUACGGGUGGCUGCAGUCGAGAAUCUUCGGCAAUGGGCGCAAGCCUGACCGGGCGACGCCGCGUGUGGGAUGAAGGCCUUCGGGUUGUAAACCACUGUUAGAGGGGAUGAAAUGCAGGUGGGUUCUCCCAUCUGUUUGACAUAGCCUCAGAGGAAGGACGGGCUAAGUUCGUGCCAGCAGCCGCGGUAACAC